AUACGUAGGGUGCAAGCGUUAAUCGGAAUUACUGGGCGUAAAGCGUGCGCAGGCGGUUUUGUAAGACAGUGGUGAAAUCCCCGGGCUCAACCUGGGAACUGCCAUUGUGACUGCAAGGCUGGAGUGCGGCAGAGGGGGAGGGAAUUCCGCGUGUAGCAGUGAAAUGCGUAGAUAUGCGGAGGAACACCGAUGGCGAAGGCAAUCCCCUGGGCCUGCACUGACGCUCAUGCACGAAAGCGUGGGGAGCAAACAGGAUUAGAUACCCUGGUAGUCCACGCCCUAAACGAUGUCAACUGGUUGUUGGGGAUUUAUUUUCUCAGUAACGAAGCUAACGCGUGAAGUUGACCGCCUGGGGAGUACGGCCGCAAGGUUAAAACUCAAAGGAAUUGACGGGG
rnacentral:rRNA from 1 species